rnacentral:rRNA from 1 species
GAUCAUGGCUCAGAUUGAACGCUGGCGGUCAUGCCUUACACAUGCAAGUCGACGGCAGCGGGCUUCGGGUGCCGGCGAGUGGCGAACGGGUGAGUAAUGCAUCGGAACGUGCCAUUGAGUGGGGGAUAACGUAGCGAAAGUUACGCUAAUACCGCAUAUUCUGUGAGCAGAAAAGCAGGGGACCGCAAGGCCUUGCGCUCUUUGAGCGGCCGAUGUCAGAUUAGCUAGUUGGUGAGGUAAAGGCUUACCAAGGCGACGAUCUGUAGCGGGGUCUGAGAGGAUGAUCCGCCACACUGGAACUGAGACACGGUCCAGACUCCUACGGGAGGCAGCAGUGGGGAAUUUUGGACAAUGGGCGCAAGCCUGAUCCAGCCAUGCCGCGUGAGUGAAGAAGGCCUUCGGGUUGUAAAGCUCUUUCGGCCGGGAAGAAAUCGCAUGGGUUAAUACCCUGUGUGGAUGACGGUACCGGAAUAAGAAGCACCGGCUAACUACGUG